UACGGAGGAUGCAAGCGUUAUCCGGAUUUAUUGGGUCUAAAGGGUGCGCAGGUUGUUUGAUAAGUCAGUGGUGAAAGUCUGUCGCUUAACGGUAGGAUUGCCAUUGAUACUGUUAGACUUGAAUAUGGAUGAGGUAGGCGGAAUGUGUAGUGUAGCGGUGAAAUGCAUAGAUAUUACACAGAACACCGAUUGCGAAGGCAGCUUACUAAUCCAUCAUUGACGCUGAGGCACGAAAGCGUGGGGAUCAAA
rnacentral:rRNA from 1 species